rnacentral:rRNA from 1 species
GACGAACGCUGGCGGCGUGCCUAAUACAUGCAAGUUGAGCGCUGAAGGCUGGUACUUGUACCAACUGGAUGAGCAACGAACGGGUAAGUCACGCGUGGGGAAUCUGUCUCUGUGCGGGGGACAACAUUAGGUAACGAAUGCUAAUACCGCAUAAAACUUUUAAACACAAGGUUUAAGUUUGAAAGAUGCAAUGGCAUCACACAAAGAUGAUCCCGCGUUGUAUUAGCUAGUUUGUGGGGUAAAGGCUCACCAAGGCGUGGAGACGUAGCCGACCGGAGAGGGUGGUAGGCCACAUUGGGGCGGGGACAGGGCCCAAAGGACUAAGGGAGGGAGCAGUCGGGAAUCUUCGGCAAUAGACGGAAGUCUGACAGAGCAACGCCGAGUGAGUGGAGGAGGUGUUCGGUUCGUGAGAAUCUGUUGGUAGUGAAGAACGGUGGUGGGAGUGGAAGGCGCAUCAAGUGACGGUAGCUGCUCAGAAAGGGACGGCUAACUACGUG